UGGGGAAUAUUGCACGAUGGGGGAAACCCUGAUGCAGCGACGCCGCGUGAGUGAAGAAGUAUUUCGGUAUGUAAAGCUCUAUCAGCAGGGAAGAAAAAAGACGGUACCUGACUAAGAAGCCCCGGCUAACUACGUGCCAGCAGCCGCGGUAAUACGUAGGGGGCAAGCGUUAUCCGGAUUUACUGGGUGUAAAGGGAGCGUAGACGGUAUGGCAAGUCUGAAGUGAAAGCCCAGGGCUUAACCCUGGGACUGCUUUGGAAACUGUGUGGCUGGAGUGUCGGAGAGGCAAGUGGAAUUCCUAGUGUAGCGGUGAAAUGCGUAGAUAUUAGGAGGAACACCAGUGGCGAAGGCGGCUUGCUGGACGAUGACUGACGUUGAGGCUCGAAAGCGUGGGGAGCAAACAGG
rnacentral:rRNA from 1 species